rnacentral:rRNA from 1 species
GAACGGGGAGCAGCCCAGAGUCUGAAUCAGCUUGUGUGUUAGUGGAACGGUCUGGAAAGUCCGACGGUACAGGGUGAUAGUCCCGUACACCAAAAUGCACAGGCUGUGAACUCGAAGAGUAGGGCGGGACACGUGGUAUCCUGUCUGAAUAUGGGGGGACCAUCCUCCAAGGCUAAAUACUCCUGACUGACCGAUAGUGAACCAGUA